AGUCAAUUCCGCCCGAUGAAAAGAUAGUUCUAGUUGGACAUAGUCUUGGUGGCAUGAACAUGGCAUUUGCAAUGGAGAAAUACCCUCAAAAGAUUUCUGUUGCUGUUUUUAUUGCGGCUAUGAUGCCUGAUACUGUACAUACGCCAAUCUAUUUUUUCGAACAGGUAAUUUGUGCUUGCACUUAGAAAUAACUUAUUAUCCUAGAAUUGAAAAUUACUAAAGAAGAAAAUGGUACCCCAUAUGUUUUAAUAUAAUUCAAAUAUUUACGAAAUUCAAAGAACAACCUUUAAAUAAAUAUACGACAAUCUUGGUUAGAAAUAAACUUUCUUACGAAUUUUAACUAAAAUAUUAACAGUUUUCUGGCUUUUAGCAUACCAAAAGAUUAACAAGUAAUUAGAGAUGACAUACAAAAAAAUAAUAAAAACAACGAUGACAUAAAUUAUUUUGAAGCAAAAUUUAUUUGAGGAAACAAAGUUAUUCUGUUUUUGUUGAUAUUUUUCACUUAAUUACUUGCAUUAACUUGCUUGGCAGGUGUUAGAAGGAAUUACGAACGAAGAUAUUUUGGACAAUCAAUUCAUACCUAUUGGUAGACCGGAAGAACAUGGCAUGUCAAUGCUCUUUGGUCCGCUGUUCACAUCAUCCAAACUAUAUCAACUCUGUCCUCCUGAGGUAAACAAAAGAACAUGUGACGAAACAAACUGCAAUAAAAAAGAUCAAAAAGAUCUUUUUUUAUUUUUAUUUUUAUCAAAAACUUGAUGAUAAAUACAGUGCACUACUAGGUAUUUCAAGUUAAAUUUCCAUUAACUCGGCAAAUUAAAUGCUUGAAAUAAAAGUAUAGAUAUUAAACUUUAAUUUCAAAUUUACAACAAAGGAGAAGUUGAGUAAUCGAAGUGAAAUACUUCUAUUCAUUGAGUGACCAACAAGUGAUUUCAAUCCAUUAUGGCAGGAUGUGGUGUUAGCAAAAGAUUUGAUGAGGCCAAUCUCUAAUUUUUGGGAUGAUUUGUCGAAUAAGGGCGCAUUUUCC
rnacentral:lncRNA from 1 species